UGCGUUCAGUCAUCAUCAUCAUCAUCAUCACCUUAAUCUUCAACAAUCAUACGAGUUCAAUGCAGGACAAAGUUUCGUAUUUUAAAACAUUUCGUCACCCAAGUUCACAUAUUUGACAAGGCUUUCGUAGGAGCUGUAGGCCUUUCCAGGGGUAGUUUUAUGGCCCUGGUGGUAGUUUGACCCUUCCUCUGUACCGUGAACCCAGAAACACAAAUUUGACAAGGCUUUCGUAGGAGCUGUAGGCCUUUCCAGUGGUAGUUUUAUGACCCUGGUGGUAGUUUGACCCUUCCUCUGUACUGUGAACCUAGAAACACAUAUUUGACAAGGCUUUCGAAGGAGCUGUAGGGCUUUCCAGGGGUAGUUUUAUGACCCUGGUGGUAGUUUGACCCUUCCUCUGUACCGUGAACCUUAAAAAAACACGCAUGAAAACUAGAUUGAUCCCUUUUUUGACCCUUAGAAAUAGUUGAUGUGGGAAGCGCUGGGGUCUUAAAAUACGGCUUAAGGAGCUUACCCAAUCUUCUCCGUCAUUGAAUGUUUUAAAAUACUUAAUGGCUUCACGAAUGUAGGCAGAUCAACAUUGCUUAUGAUCGAUGACACUUUGCGCACGAGGAACAAUGGCGUAAAACUCAAAUAUAGACAAGUAAAUUCAGACUGCACCAAAUUUUUCUUCACCAACGUUGUAGUGCGAGAAUGGAAUAAGCUUCCCCCGUCAGUGGUCCAGUGUAACACGAUUGACUCCUUCAAACACAAGCUCGACCGUCACUUCCUUCAACUUAAUAUUAACUAGAGUUGAAAUGCAACGUUUUGGAGCCUUCUGAUCAAUGUAGAAUCACUUAGGUUUAAGGACAGACCACCAAGUAGGGGCUAUGGGGUCUGUGUGGUCUGGUGUUCUAUGUAAAUCUAUGUAAAUCUGUUUGACGUAAGUGUAUAUAUUGGAUAGUUAAUUUAUUCUAUCCCGGUUCUAAAUUCAUCUCCCUGCCUGGUCCUCUGCCUGCUCUGACUUCGUUCACUGCGUAGACAUCAACACAAGCAACACUCAGGUCUGCGUCUGAUGUGUUGAAUGUAUACAGUCCUCAACGCAACACAGGUAACACUCAGGUCUGUGUCUGAUGUGUUGAAUGUAUACAGUCCUCAACGCAACACAGGUAACACUCAGGUCUGCGUCUGAUGUGUUGAAUGUCUACAGUCCUCAACACAACACAGGUAACACUCAGGUCUGUGUCUGAUGUGUUGAAUGUAUACAGUCCUCAACACAACACAGGUAACACUCAGGUCUGCGUCUGAUGUGUUGAAUGUAUACAGUCCUCAACGCAACACAGGCAACACUCAGGUCUGCGUCUGAUGUGUUGAGUGUGUACUGUCCUCAACGCAACACAGGUAACACUCAGGUCUGUGUCUGAUGUGUUGAAUGUAUACAGUCCUCAACACAACACAGGUAACACUCAGGUCUGCGUCUGAUGUGUUGAAUGUCUACAGUCCUCAACACAACACAGGUAACACUCAGGUCUAUGUCUGAUGUGUUGAAUGUAUACAGUCCUCAACACAACACACGCAACACUCAGGUCUGUGUCUGAUGUGUUGAAUGUAUACAGUCCUCAACACAACACAGGUAACACUCAGGUCUGCGUCUGAUGUGUUGAAUGUAUACAGUCCUCAACGCAACACAGGUAACACUCAGGUCUGCGUCUGAUGUGUUGAAUGUAUACAGUCCUUAACGCAACAC